UACGUAGGGUCCGAGCGUUGUUCGGAAUUACUGGGCGUAAAGGGCUUGUAGGCGGCCAACUAAGUCCGACGUGAAAUCCCCAGGCUUAACCUGGGAACUGCGUCGGAUACUGGAUGGCUUGAAUUCGGGAGAGGGAUGCAGAAUUCCAGGUGUAGCGGUGAAAUGCGUAGAUAUCUGGAGGAAUACCGGUGGCGAAGGCGGCAUCCUGGACCGACAUUGACGCUGAGGAGCGAAAGCUAGGGGAGCAAACGGG
rnacentral:rRNA from 1 species